rnacentral:lncRNA from 1 species
CUAAAAGAUGUAGCUAUUCAAGACCUUUUCCUGAGCAGCAGAGGAGGUGUGGCCUUAGUCCUUCAAAACUGUCAGGAUGGUGAGCUACUGCUGACUCCAGGAGUCAUGAGGACUUACUGCUGGACCUGGGAAUAAUGUGGGCCAGCACUGCUUGGGUGGGUGCUGAAGGGCAAAGCUGUCCAUGUGGUGUGAGCAGAGGUGACCAGACAGAGCCAAGGAAGAAUGCUGACCUCCCUAUCCAUUUUGUAUAUGGAGAUAAGGGAAGGACACUGAGCUUAUGAAGAACUUUCUGGUUUGGAGGCCUAUAAAAGCUGUACACGUUGGUGAAGUAUUCUGUUUUAACUUUCCUGACCACUAAUCAAGAUAGAUGGGACGUGGAAGUAAUAUCUUCAGCCUGGAAAGUCCCAAAGUGAGUAGCCUGCUAAUGGAAAUAUGCUAAACACAAAAACAGGAUCUGUAUUUACAUAUGA